UGUAGAUCUAGAUUUCCAUCUAGUAUCCUUUUCCUUCUGCCUGAAGGACUUCAUUUAUUAUUUCUUACAGGGAGGGACAGCUGG